AGAGUUUGAUCCUGGCUCAGGACGAACGUUGGCGGCGUGCCUUACACAUGCAAGUCGUACGCGAAAGGGGAAACCAGCUUGCUGGGGACCCCCGGUAGAGUGGCGAGCGGGAGCGUAACACGUGAGGAACCUGCCUCGGAGUGGGGAAUAACCCAGAGAAAUCUGGGCUAACUCCGCAUGAUGCAGCGGCCCCGCAUGGGGACAGUUGUUAAAGACCGCCUCUGCUUGCAAGCGGUCGCUUCGAGAUGGCCUCGCGGCCUAUCAGCUAGUUGGCGGGGUAAUGGCCCACCAAGGCGACGACGGGUAGCCGGCCUGAGAGGGUGUCCGGCCUCAUUGGGACUGAGACACGGCCCAGACUCCUACGGGAGGCAGCAGUGAGGAAUCUUGCGCAAUGGGCGAAAGCCUGACGCAGCGACGCCGCGUGAGGGAUGAAGGCCUUCGGGUUGUAAACCUCUGUCAGGGGGGAAGAACCCGGAGUCGGUGAAUAACCGGCUCCGCUGACGGUACCCCCAGAGGAAGCACCGGCUAACUCCGUGCCAGCAGCCGCGGUAAGACGGAGGGUGCAAACGUUGUUCGGAAUCACUGGGCGUAAAGGGCGCGUAGGCGGACUUGUAAGUCGGGAGUGAAAACUCGGGGCUCAACCCCGAGCCUGCUUCUGAAACUGCGAGUCUUGAGGACCGGAGAGGAAAGUGGAAUUCCUAGUGUAGCGGUGGAAUGCGUAGAUAUUAGGAAGAACACCAGUGGCGAAAGCGACUUUCUGGACGGUUCCUGACGCUGAGGCGCGAAAGCUAGGGGAGCAAACAGGAUUAGAUACCCUGGUAGUCCUAGCCGUAAACGAUG
rnacentral:rRNA from 1 species